AUGCCGGUGAGCGCGACGAUGGGGGUAAUGAAGCCCCUCCUCGGCAAGCUCGCCACCCUGGCGGGCGACGAGUACAGUAAGCUCAAAGGGGUGAGGAAGCAGGCGUCCUUCCUCGAGAAGGAACUGAGCGCCAUGAACGCUGCCCUUGAGAAGAUGGAGCUUAUGGAUGAGCUCGACCCGGUGGCCAAAGACUGGAGAGACCGCGUCAGAGAGAUGUCCUACGACAUGGAUAACUGCAUUGAUGACUUCAUCCGCCAAUUUGGAGGUGCUCCUGCCAAGGCAGGCUUCAUCAAAGAGACCGUUCGACAUCUCAAGACGUUGGGACAGCGUCAUCGGAUUGCUGACCGGAUGGAGGAACUCAAGGUUCUUGCACUAGAGGCAAAUGAACGGCGCAUCAGGUACAAGAUCGAUGAGUGCAAUUCUAGUUCUAGUUUUGUGGCUAUCGAUCCUCGCAUGUCGGCGAUAUAUGUGGAUGCAGCUGGUCUUGUAGGUACUGAUGGCCCAAGGAAAGAGCUUGUCAAUUUGUUAACUGAUACCGAGAAGAAGCUCAAGGUGGUGUCCAUUGUUGGAUUCGGUGGUCUGGGUAAAACUACACUUGCAAAACAGGUGUAUGAUGAAAUCAAAGGGCGGUUCAACUGUAUGGCGUUUCUUCCCAUAUCUCAAAAACCUAAUAUGACAUGGAUUCUCAACCGUCUACAAUUAAAACUUGGGAUGCAUGGUUCUUCUAGUGCUUGUGAGUUGCAAGACCUCAUUGAGGACCUCAGAAAACAUCUCACAAAUAACAGGUACCUUAUUGUAGUUGAUGACCUGUGGGAUCAAUCAGUAUGGAAUGCUAUUAGCCGUGCCUUUCCAGAAAAUGAUAAAGGGAGUAGAGUAAUAGUAACCACUCGAGUGGAAGAUGUGGCUUCUGGGGCAUGCUGCAGUCACCCAGGGUCCAUUUACAGAAUGAACUUCCUCGACGAACAAGACUCAAAAAGGUUAUUUUAUAAUAGAAUAUAUGGAUCUGAAGAUGACUGUCCAUCCCGAUUUGAAGAUAUUUCAGCUGAAAUUCUGAAGAAGUGUGGUGGACUCCCACUUGCAAUCAUUACUAUAUCUAGCCUAUUAGCCAGUCGUCCUGAAAUGGACGAGUGGGAGGCCAUAAGGAAUUCUCUGGGCACCCAGUUUGCAAUAAAUCCCACAACGGAAGGGAUAAAGAGUAUAUUAAACCUUAGUUAUAUGCAUCUUCCUCUUCAUCUCCGGGCAUGUUUUCUGCACGUUGGUAUGUAUCCAGAAGACCGUGAGAUAGAGAGGGAUGAUUUGGUUCGUCAAUGGGUUGCAGAAGGCUUCAUCAAUAAUUUGUAUGGGCAAGAUAUGGAGGUUGCUGCGAAGAGCUAUUUCAAUGAACUUAUCAACAGAAGCUUGAUUCAGCCUGAACGUACUGAUCAUGGAGAGUUGUUAUCAUGCAGAGUACAUGUCUACAUGAUAUGA
rnacentral:rRNA from 1 species